rnacentral:lncRNA from 1 species
GUCAUAUACUACUUUUCUUACUUCUCUUCCUUCUGCUUAUUCUUCUCUUCUUUCAUGGGUUUUAGCAGUAGCAUGACUUGUUUUCCAUUUUACUCAUCUUUAAUAUCGGCAAGACUAUCUGGACACUUUCUUUGUCCCAGAACAGCCUAUGCAGAUUCUUCUUGAUGACGUGCCCACCUCAGUGGUGGCUUAUUUUCCUCUGCCCCGGAGGCUAGCACUGUGGACCGACCUGGUGCCAGUUUGAUCUCUAAUUCAUACGCUUUGAAAUGCAAAAGUUGGAAUACUUCUGCAGAAACAACAGGUCCUGGAAAAGUGUAUGUUGGAGAGAAGAGAAGGGUUGCUAUGAAGAAGUAUCACAAUCAUCACAGACCUGAUGUCGAGCGUUUGCCAAAUCCUCACGAAAUUCAGGGUCAGAACCAUGGAGUGCGCAAGAAAGACUGGAUCAAACUGUCCCAUCUCCACCUGCCUAAUAGAGUGAAGAUUUGAAGAAACUUCUUCCCAGUCCUGAUACUAUGUACCUGGGAUCUUUUUAUUAUUUUGGAAUAUAACAUAUAUAAAAGAGUACAAAUAAAGCUUAUGUAUG